GUGCUUUUCUAACAUCUCAGAAUAGGUUAACUUUUGAUCUAUAAAAAAACACUUAGCUGAGAUCCAUUUACAUCCAUUAAUGAUAUUAAAGUUCUAGGUCUCUAAUAAUUUCACCGGAGGAAGAGGAAGCAUUAGAAAAACAACCUUUCCACUGAGAUUUUGAAUAUUAAAUGUUAAUAGUGUUUAAGUGCUUUUUUUCAAUGUCUGCCCGUCAUCUUACAUCUAAAGGGGUUUUUCAGACUCACGUCAUGAGCUGAACUACACAUUAGCAUUCCGAUCUACAGGCUUAUGGACUUAGCCAACGUACUUCCUGCUGGAGACAUACAUUAUACUGCCAGAGGGAACAUAAACAAUAAUCUUCUUAAGGUGUGAGCUGCUCCUACAGCAGUUAUAGCAAGCCCUUACUCAAGCAAUUUACAGUAUCUGAAGACGAGGUGGUGACUGGCACUGUACCAUAAUGUGUCAUCGUAGUGCAGUUAUCUGCUCUGUCAUUUGGCACAUAACUAAAAUUAUCAUGAUGAAAAUUUGAUUUUAAUUAAGAUUAAUUUCUCCAAACCUGCACAGAUGCCAACAAUGUUGCCAAGUCACUUGAAUAGCGCAAAACAGGCCUUUAACAGAGUGCUAUUUGACAGUUGAGAGUGCAGAAAAGGUGAACAGGUGAAAGGAAUAUUAACAGUGGCUGAUUUAGGUGGCAUAGUAAGCUGCAUUCACUACAGAGACCAGGGGCAUCUCCAUGGAAUGCAGCCAUAAUUAAUGUCAUUGAUUACACCAGAGCUUUUCAUGCUAUGAUGUGACGGAGGCUCUAUUGUUUGCCUUUGAUUAGGGAUAAUUUUUACUAACAGCAAAUUUUCCACUAUUGCAGUCUUUUUAAUCAACAUCAGGCGAGCAUCUGUUGAGGGUUCGUUAGCAAACAAGCAGCUCAGCAGGCUGUAAUCUGUCUUAGCUGUUGAGGCACCGACUGAACUCAGUAAGAGAUAAGAAAACCUGAAAGCAGCAGAAGAGAAAGCAGACCCUACACUUUUUUUGCAGCAAAAAUAAACAGAAAAAAAAUAGCCAUCUGAUUUACAUUCAAUCUUGAGUUUUUAUGAGUUCAGUUUUAUCUCUUCUUAUACUCAGUUUUGAAUUUGUUUCAGUGGAUGAGUGUUCAUUUUAAAUGAUUAUUUUAACAUGAUCUGUUUGUUUUAACUCCAAGCAACUCCAACAUCUAUUGAAGUUCAAAUGCACGUGUGAAUUUCACUGUAUUUCAUCCAGAAGCCAGUUUUAUCUCUAUGUCCAAAGCCAAACAAAUGUAAAUUUUCAUCAAUCAAAGGUCAGAGCUUUGCGUGAAGACAAAGGACUCACUGAGACACUUUUUCCUCCCAACACAGGAUUUCCACCACACUUUGGAAUAUGCAGCACAAGUUACAUCUUUGCACAGCAUGUGUAGACUUCAGGCUGCUGACUUUGACCCCUAGCUGUUAUUAGAUUAACUUUAGUUCAUCUGGCCCUCACAGAGAAGGUCACAGAAACUUCCUAUAGUCUUUUCCAGUGGUUAAUCUACCUCUGCUCUAUAUGUGCUCUAGAGGACAUCUAUUUAAGAUCUGAGCCGAGUUCCUUAUCACUUCUCAACUCAUGGCAGGGCUUUCAGUGUAAUGGCUAACGGAGUGAUAGGUGAUGUUUUAGCAGGCUUGUAUAAUAUAUAAUCUCAGUGGACGCAGCACUAAUGGAAAGUGUUGUAGAUUUGUAGAUAGAGUUUGUAGAGGAGUGAGCUGAGGUUUUUUUAGACUGACUGUUGUAGCGUCUGCUGUGCUGCCCUCGUCUACCUCUUAAGUCAAAGCAGGAAGAAGAUCCAAGGCCAGGUCUGAAGAGGUUUACAAACCUCCCCUAAAUUCUUCCCUGUGGGUGAAAUCAUGUGAAAGCUGCUUAGGCAGAUUAUCCCUGCCUCGACGGCAGCUGGCAGCGAGAUCCUUGGGAGUGCACCUGACUCAAUAUUCGCUGUGACGCAACUGCAGCCGGUGGCGCAGCGUGCUCUCACAAUCCGCCAUGACCUUUAGCCCCGGAGGGAGAAGUGCAUCUUGAGGACAAACGCACGUAGGAAAAAAGACUAAUCAACAUACGAGCAAUCAGAUUAAAGAACAUUUAGACAUGUUUAAUCUGUCACAAAUGAAGCAUGAUAAUCACUUAAUUGGAUUUUUCAGGAAUGUGUUUUAAGCAAUUUAGAUUGUGUGAUUAUGAAAGAAUACUGAAAUACUAAGUGACAGUGAAUGUUACCUAACCUACACUACUGCUCAAAAGUUUGGGGUCACCCAGACAAUUUCAUGUUUUCCAUGAAAACUCACACUUUUUUUCAUGUGCUGAAAUAAAUGCACAGGGGUUUUGUAAUCAUCAAUUAACCUUUCAACACCAUUAGCUAACACAAUGUAGCAUUAGAACACAGGAAGCUAGAAUAGUCAUUUACCACAUUAACGAUGCCUAAACUGUAUUUCUGAUUCAUUUAAUGUUAUCUUCAUUGAAAAAAAGCUUUUCUUUCAAAAAUAAGGACAUUUCUAAGUGAUGUUUAGUCAUAGUGUACGUUUAACCCUAAAUUUGACUAAUUGCAUAUAUGAAAGGAUAAAAUUCCUUAUAAGAUGAAUCAACUGAGUAAUUUUGUUCUGAUAUCAGUUUACCGACAACCUUCUUCUUGUACAUUUACUGAUGAGGAACAAAACUAUAAUUCCCCUAUUUUUUACCAACAGCAUUCCUGGUGUUUACACUGUUAGUCUUUAAGAUGAAGACAGGCAUUCAAAAUUCGCCAAAGAUUAAUAAAAUCUUUUUGAAAAAGCAUCAGCAAUAUCCAAAAUGAAAUCAUAAAAAGGCAGCAGUUGUUAAAAAAAAAAAAAAAAAAAUGAAAUAAUUAAAUAAAAGAAGCAGAACUGCAUAAGGAAAUAUUAUCUGGCAGCCAAUGUCAUAGCUGCUUCACCUGAUAUUCUCAUUUCUAUAGUCACUCAACUCUUUUUUGUGUCGAUGAUGGACAUAUUCAAAUGUGACUAAUGUGAAAAUGAAUCCAUAGUAGAGUGUAAAACUCUCCAGCUCUCUGACAGCUGCUGUCACUUGAUUUUUGAUGGUGAGUAUCAUUGUAUAGUGAUUCAGCUACACUGCAUUUCCUCCAUCAUGUGUUCUUAUCUAUAGCCGCUACUUAAGGAUGUUUUAAAUCUGAGCAAGUGAAGCUUAUUUUUGUGUGCACACAUUUGUCAGACGCCGGAAAUUUACAUGUAGAUGGAAAGUGUCAUUUUUCUAAAUUAGGUGAAGGCAUAAGGAGGGGAUGGUCUCCUUCCAAGUAUAUUUUAAUGAAGUCCCAGGUGUGCUGUCACCUCAUGAAAACACAAUGCUCCAAUAAAAUCCAUGUCCUAUCACACUCAGCCACUGAGGCAAGUUUUAUUAAAAAUGAAGAGACUUCAGUUUUAAUGCUGCACACAGGAGCCUUUGCCAGGUCAAAGCCAAGAAAAAACAAUCAAUGGCAGACCAAUGCCGAAGUGAGAAAUACUUUUGUUUUCAGGGGAUGCAGAGGCAAACUAUGGAGCUUGGAGCUCCUGAAAUACUUUCCAUUCUUUAGACAUUUUCAGGGUCUAUUAUUCAACCACUAAAUAUAUCAAUACUGUCUGGACAGCAACUAUAAUUUUUGAUUUAUAUAUUCUGUAGUGAAUCACGCAGAGUAAUGCAAAAAGAAAUCACUGGUGGGCAAGAUGAGUAAGCCAUAAAACAGACGAAACAGGGCAUCAAAUAAAAUGCUCAGAUAUAAGCAAUUCCAGCUUUAUUUUUGCUAAUGCUUUGUAGACUUUCUGUGAAUUCAGAGUUCUUCUUUAGUACUCUGAAUCAUUUUUUUCAACACAAACUGUCCCAUUACUUCCAUUUGUAUUUCAUCAGUUUUCAAAGUGUUAAGCUGAAUGGAGAAAAAUGACACACGCAAUCAUAAAAAUGUACAAAUUAACCUAAAAUUUUCACUAAAAACAUUAUUUCAGAUAUUAUUACAGAGCAGCUCAAAGUUGUAAAAAAUAUGUUGCUUUACUACACACAAUUGCAACUUAAAGAGGUAAGAAAUAGUGCUUUAGUAAGAAUUGGAAUUGUAACUGGCACUAUAUAAAUAAAAUUGAAUUGAAUAGCUACAUGGAAAGUGGUAUUCCUUAAAAGUCUGUGUACGCCAUUUUAAAUCACUAUUAACAUGAAUAACAGCAGUUUUGACAAAAAACAAAUUCUUUAAAAAAUAAAAAAAAUCCUGAUCAACAGACAUAACUGUAAAAGCACUUUCAUCUGGCUAUCUUAGCUUGUUUCUACACAAAAUAUAAAUAAAGUUAUUUUGUUGCUCAUGCUCAAUGUCUUGACAAAUGAACACAUUGGUUUAAUAGGAGCUUUCACUUCCUCGAUUUGUAAAAUUCGUUAUAUGCACAUAACUGUCAGCAACUCCACUCAUGAGAAGUGAAAGGUAAUUGUAGAAAUGGCAACAGCUGAAAUGUGGUGAGGUCUGGUUUUCCUCUUGCUGUCUUUCUGCACAGUUGUACAGUUAUGUUUUAAAAGUAGGGAAUUUAUCACUGUGGCCCUCUGUUUUGUCUCAGGCAGCUGUUUUAUGGGGAGUUAUUUAUUGAUGUAGUCAAUAUCUGUCUUUAAAACUUCUUGUCAUAUUUCACUGUAUAAUGGAGAUGACUGUAAAUCACAUGAAGCACCUCAGUAUAAGAAGCAUAGCACUAGCAUCCAUCUCUGCAAAAAUUGUUCACAUUUGAUGUAGAGCAAAGACAAAGUUGUCUUGUUCAUGAAUGUUUUGAAAGUGGAAACACACAGGAGUAAAUCCAGUCAAAAAAUAAGUCAGAUUUGUGCAAAAAAAAUCAGAUUUUUAAACUUGGAUUUGUAAUAUAUAAUAGAGUCUGAAAGAUAAAUCAGUGGUGAAAAUGUCAUUAAACAUGUCACAAAAAAGGUCUGAAGUCUGAUUUGACUCUAAUGUAAAGUCAAGGACUGAGAGAUUACACAAAGUAGCCUUCACCCGCUCACCGCAACGCUUAAGCCAGAGCGCAUCCUGUCUCAGAGGGGCCCGACUCGUGAUGUGUUCUACACAUUGCAGCCGAUACUUGGCCGGCACCGUGCUCCCAAAAUAGAUGGCAGUUCCAGAUAGGUGGGCUGUGAGGAGAAACUGAGAGAAAGUGGGAAAGGAAGUGCGAGUGGGAAGCAUGAUAAUGUAACCAAAGACAAGAAGAUCAGCGUUGUGUGUCUGCAAUCUGCUGCCCUGCACUCCUACAUUUAUUGUGUUUGCUGACGUGGGAACCGGCGCUCUUGUCAGGCUCUUCACUGAAGGCCAAUUACGUCAUUCUUUGGAAAGUCUGACCAACAGCGGCCAGACAAUCUUGUUAGACGGCCGUGAUGGGCAGACACACCAACUGAGACAUGCAGAUGCAGGAUCACACAGUUUCACAAUGUAGCAUGGAUGAAAACACACUCAAGCUAAGACAACCACUGUGAUGUGUUUCCCCCUCUUAAAUCCACGCAAUAAAGCGAGAGCACAGAGACCCAUACAUGUCUAUGCGCUGAAGUGGGCUGUGGAGACCGGAGGCUUACCCAACAGAGUUAUAAAUAACUGGACGGCCUGCACCUUAAGAUGGUUUUGUCUGGGUGGAGGGCGCUCAGAGUUCAAUGUAACCUGACAACUUAAUCCCUUGUAAGAGAGAGAGAGAGACACUGGGAGAUCGGUGAACGUGGUGCCGUCUCGGAUUUCCAGGCUACUGUUGCUUAUUAGCACUUAGAGAGAAGCUGCAAACAUUGGUUCUUAUUUGGACUCAGAUCAGCUUGUCACUCACGUGCGCUUAUUUAAGUCCACACUGUCCUGAUACACUUUAGCCCUUACUGGCGAAUUAAUAAUUUACUGUAGCUUUAGUAUAUGUCUAUCACAAGUAGAUGAAACCAAAUAUUAGAUUAAAGAAAUUGUGUGACAUUUUGUGAAAUAGGCUAUGAAAAUAUAUAAGCAUGAUAAUCAGUGAGACAAAUUGUUAUGCCUUCAGAUAGAGCCAGGAUAGCUGUUUCACCCUAUAUCCAAUCUUAAUGCAAAGCUAUGUAAUAGUUGUACGGUUAUUAUACAGACACACGAGUGGUAUCAAAAUUUUCACAUAAUUCUCAGCUAAUAAAACUGAAUAAGGGCAUUUAUGAAAAUUUGAAGCUGCCUCCUUCUUAAACAAAACCACAAUUAGGACCCAAAACCUCAAUAAAGAGGAUUGCUGACAUCAUAUACAGUCAUGACCACUGCUCCCUCUAAACUGCGCGCGUGCGUAAUUGCGCACUGCUGACACGGUCUCCGCGCACAGAAAAUCUGCGCUGCGCACAAAAAAAAGUCCAACCUAAAUUGUAAAUAAAAUAAACACGUAACAAUUCAUUCUGUGCUAUUUUUCAGUGUGAGUCAGUGAGUGACCGGUGACUGGCUGCUGCAGCCAAUGAUGCGAUUCACAUACGUAUUUACCAUAGACUGUAUAUAAUGGUAUUUACGCAGCUAAUCUACGUCAGACGUCCUUAUGUGCAGUCACCGUUGUUGUCAUAGAUAUGAAUGAGUAGAUAGGACACGCCCCUUUGAGCUGCGUGCUACUGCGAGGCUAAGCUAGUGGGGGCAAAGUUUCAGUGCAUUCCGUUGAUGUAGACGGCGUGAAAACGGAAACAACAAGUAUGCCGGCUCACUGUGCUGCAUACAGUUACACACUACGUCGUACGAUUGAGACAAGGAAACUUGGAAUGACUUUUCAUAGGUAAGAAUAGUUUUUGGCUCUUUUUUCAUUAUGAAAUCUUGUUGAGAGCUUCCAGUCUAUGAGAGCUAACUAGUUAGCCACUAGCAAAACGCUAAGGCGAGCUAGCAGUGGGGCUGGGCGAUAAAUCGAUUUUAUCGAUUAAUUCGAGUUUGUACUUAAUGUCGAUUUGUUUUUAUGAAAAUCGAUUCUCUCAUCAACAUCCGCACGAGCGCCUGCCUGCUGGCCUCCCGUAGUUCAGAGUGCGCGCCCCCCCCCGCGCUUGAUACACAAACAACAUGGCGGCGAGCGGUGCAGAUCUAAAGGUGCGUGUCCACUGGAUGCUAUUUCCCCGCACGGCAACGCACCGCAUCUGAAAAUCGCACGGACGGCGGUCACUAGCGGACCACAACAUGGUCACAUGACAGCGCUGAGCAACAGCGGGCCGCUACAUGCUGACGUCACCGAGCUUUCAGCUGGACAGUCCUGCAGACAAGUCGGAUAAACACAGCGGCUCGGCCGCAAACUUUCCCUUUUAUUUCUAAAAACACGUCAGCGAAAAGUAUUUCUUAAAGCAUUUGAAGCGAGAAAUAAUCUGCAGCAGCUGAAUCUGUCCUCGUUUUAUGUCACCGACGCCUAGUUUAGAAGUUUGAGGACAGUUUAACGAUGCGUGGAAUCUCCGCACGCUGCAUUCAAUUUGCAUAAAGUAGAAGUCAGUCUACUGUAUGCAAAUGAGCUGCAGCCCCCUCCGGGUAAAGACAACGGAUCCUAGCGGGAAACGCACCGCAACCGGACCAGCAUGCCACAUGUGGCGCAUUUCCAACUGCGAUCCAGUGUGUUUACCCAGAGAGGGCUGCAGCUCAUUUGCAUAAAGUAGACUGGACUCCAGCGUGAGGAGAUUAGGUAGGGGGUAAAAAAAAAAUCGGAUAAAUCGUGAAUCGGGAUUUUUUGUGAAAAAAAUCGAGGAUUUUUUUUUUAGGCCAUAUCGCCCAGCCCUAACUCAUGUAAAUCCAGAUUACCAUCUAUGUUCUUCCUCCAAACCCAUUUCAUGAUUGGGAUUACAGGCAGUUCUUUAGGACUGCUCUCAAAUCAUUGAAAUGUUACUAAACAAGGUUAUACUUAUCAAAUUAAAUAGCUCUGGUCUCCAGUAUAUUGGCGAAUUCGGUUCUUUGUACUUAAUUUAUUAGCAUGAUUUCUUUUUUAAUAUGUUGUGUACAGACUUAAUUACUUCUCUGUCUACUUUUCUUACUCCAUGUAGGUUUCCCAGAGACUAUGGGUUGAGGAGGAAUUGGAAGUUUGUCGGCUUAGACCUGGUGUCAUUCCAUCAGUGUUAAACUUCCCGGCUCAUCUUGGAAGAGUACGUGCCAGAAAGACCACGACCAAGCAGCCUUGAGAUCUUAGGCAGCGUCUCCCUGAGGUCCCUCUCUAUCUCCACACAUCCACCAACCACUGGAACACAUCUCCAAAGUUCUGCUGGACCAGCUCAGCUUCCCCUCAGAAGAAGUGCUGCCACCUGCCAGAUGAAGGAGCCUUUUGAGAGGCAGCUGGCAUCGUGAUUGGACUGUACUUUGGUCUGUUCCAAUCCAGCUUCAGCUCCAGAGACGGCAGGCGGGACGAGUCAACGGAGGCCGGGUGGACGAAGGCAUGCAGCUGAGUACAAUCCAGAAAACAACAGUGGAGGAGCCCAGCCCAGAGCCAGAACACAGUAGCAUGACCAAAGAACUACAGACUCUUCACAACCUGCUCAAACUCUUGGUACAGGACCUCACCACACGGGUCAAGAAGGUUUCUGUCUCAUUUCUACUCUGAAGCUCACCUUCUCCUGCUCAAACUGCUGACAAAUGUUUCUGCUGCUCUAAAGUCUGGUCUCCAGAACUUCCUAAAAACUCUCAAAGUCUCUUCUGCUGCAGGUUGCUUUGUAGAACUGUUCCAGAAAACCUCACUAAACCACAUGGAGGGGCCUCAAGAUAGUCGUCCAAAUGAAACCUUACAAAAACCAAACUAGCACAACCCAGACGCUAAAGUCUCCUGCAGCCUACCAGAGAACCUCUGAGAACAGAGAAUCAGGACAGGAACUCUUACCUUCUGGACAACCAACGCUGGUUCUCAAACAAGAAUACAGAAUGU